GCUGUCAACCCAGCUGACUAUAUGCUCUUUGAAGAGGAAACUAUGGCCUGGCGGCGGUGGUGGCGCACGCCUUUAAUCCCAGCACUUGGGAGGCAGAGACAGGCAGAUCUCUGUGAGUUCAAGGCCAGCCUGGUCUAUAGAGGGAGUUCCAAGACAGCCAGGGUUACAUAGAGAAACCCUGUCUCGAAAAACAACAACAAAAAGAUGAAACUGUUUUCAGCAGCCACCUGGAUAGUGCUGGGGAUAUUCAACGACCAAGUGACUAAAUGAAUCUAUGGCACACACCGAUGCCUUAAACAGUGGGAACGCUUCACCCAGGGACCCAAUUGUUAACACAGACAGAAUAAAAGACGCCAGUAGUCAGCCCUAAUCGGGACAUCUAGAUCACAUCCCAUCCUCCCGAGGUCUAGAUGUCAUCUCAGAAGAGGAGGCAGAAAUUUUAAGAAGCAGAGGGCUGGGAUUCCAAGCACGCACCACCAGACCUGGCGUAUGCUGCGCUGGUGAUUGAACCAUGCACGUUGUGCGUGCCAGGCAGGCACUUUAACAAAGCCACAUGCCCAGCCUCGGAAGCCACUUUCCCAAAAGCAAUGGACCCUGGGGGAGCGCUCCUUCUGUCAAAUGGUUUCAUGUACUCUAGAAUGGCCUCAAACUCACUAUGCCACCAACGAUGACUCUGAAUUUCUCAUCCUUCUGCCCCCACUGUAAUGAGAUUACAGCUGUGAACUGCUUUAUGAAGAUGCUGGGGAUCAAACCCAGGGUAUCACACAUGCUAGACAAGCACUCUCCCAACUGAGCUACACCCCAGUCUUCCUUUCCUUUUCCAAUCUCAAAUCUCCCCAGCCCUGGGGGAAGACAGCCAUCCCCUUCCCCAAGGCAAGCAUCCCACAUUAAGCGAGUCAGUUUGAUCAUACAUUACCUUUCGA